AGCAGCCGCGGUAAUUCCAGCUCCAAUAGCGUAUAUUAAAGUUGCUGCAGUUAAAAAGCUCGUAGUUGAAUUUCGGGAUCAAUAUGUUGGUCGUGCCUCGGUACGUACUAGCUUAUUGGUUUCUUCCUUCUGACGAACCAUAAUGUCAUUUAUUUGGUGUUAUGGGGAAUCAGGACUGUUACUUUGAAAAAUUAGAGUGUUUAAAGCAGGCUCACGCUUGAAUACAUUAGCAUGGAAUAAUGAAAUAGGACGUUUGAUUCUAUUUUGUUGGUUUCUAGGAUCGACGUAAUGAUUAAUAGGGAUAGUUGGGGGCAUUAGUAUUCAAUUGUCAGAGGUGAAAUUCUUGGAUUUAUUGAAGACUAACUACUGCGAAAGCAUUUGCCAAGGAUGUUUUCAUUAAUCAAGAACGAAAGUUAGGGGAUCGAAGACGAUCAGAUACCGUCGUAGUCUUAACCAUAAACUAUGCCGACUAGGGAUCGGAUGAUG
rnacentral:rRNA from 1 species